rnacentral:rRNA from 1 species
AGUGAACGCUGGCGGUAGGCCUAACACAUGCAAGUCGAACGGCAGCACAGGAGAGCUUGCUCUCUGGGUGGCGAGUGGCGGACGGGUGAGGAAUACAUCGGAAUCUACUCUGUCGUGGGGGAUAACGUAGGGAAACUUACGCUAAUACCGCAUACGACCUACGGGUGAAAGCAGGGGACCUUCGGGCCUUGCGCGAUUGAAUGAGCCGAUGUCGGAUUAGCUAGUUGGCGGGGUAAAGGCCCACCAAGGCGACGAUCCGUAGCUGGUCUGAGAGGAUGAUCAGCCACGCUGUAACUGAGACACGGUCCAGACUCCUACGGGAGGCAGCAGUGGGGAAUAUUGGACAAUGGGCGCAAGCCUGAUCCAGCCAUACCGCGUGGGUGAAGAAGGCCUUCGGGUUGUAAAGCCCUUUUGUUGGGAAAGAAAUCCAGCUGGCUAAUACCCGGUUGGGAUGACGGUACCCAAAGAAUAAGCACCGGCUAACUUCGUGCCAGCAGCCGCCGUAA